rnacentral:rRNA from 1 species
GAUGAACGCUAGCGACAGGCUUAACACAUGCAAGUCGAGGGGCAGCAUGAUUUAACUUCGGUUAAAUUGAUGGCGACCGGUGCACGGGUGCGUAACACGUAUGCAACCUACCUUAUACAGGGGGAUAGCCCAUGGAAACGUGGAUUAAUACCCCAUAGUACUUUAUAUUCGCAUGAAUGUAGGGUUAAAGUCUUCGGAUGGUAUAAGAUGGGCAUGCGUCCCAUUAGAUAGUUGGUGAGGUAACGGCUCACCAAGUCAAUGAUGGGUAGGGGUUCUGAGAGGAAGGUCCCCCACACUGGAACUGAGACACGGUCCAGACUCCUACGGGAGGCAGCAGUGGGGAAUAUUGCACAAUGGGGGAAACCCUGAUGCAGCGACGCCGCGUGAGUGAAGAAGUAUUUCGGUACGUAAAGCUCUAUCAGCAGGGAAGAAAAUGACGGUACCUGACUAAGAAGCCCCGGCUAACUACGUGCCAGCAGCCGCAGUAAGAC